CCUCCACCCCCUACCUCAUCCUAAGAGGUUGGGUAGACCCCCCUCCUCCGCCUUAUCUAGAUACUCUAGCUUGCCAAACACGAUAAGGAUGUGUUGAUAAGACAGGAUCACAGGAUAUAAAAGGAGACCUAACAAAGAAUAAGUUUAGUUGUGCACCAGCUCUCACAAGGAGAGGAUGAAGACUUUUGCCAACUCCCCACAGUGGAAGGAUGGACAACCUAAGAAGCAGUCAGUCCACAGGAAUGGAAACUGCUUGGUUGGAUCGGAGCUGUGGGAAAACAACAUGUUGCUGCAGGAGAUAUGUUGCAGGGAGAGAUAUAUUGCCGGAGGAGAUAUGUUACUGGAGGGGAUAUAUUACUGGAGGGGAUAUGUUACUGGAGGGGAUACUUAAAGGAGGUAUCUAGCCAAAGGAGGUAUCUAGCCAAAGGAGGUAUCUAGCCAAAGGAGGUAUCCAGCCAAAAAGAGGAAAACCUUUAGUUUAGUUUAGUUUAGUUUAGUAUUUGUUUCACUUUCAAUAUAAAUGUUCAACUA